rnacentral:rRNA from 1 species
AAGUGCUAAGGGAAAAUAAUGAUAUUACCUUGGUAAAAGUGUUGUCAAAUUCUGGUGCCAGAAGACUCGGUAACGCCAGUAACGCGAACGUUAGUCAUCUUAAUCAGGCGUAAAGGGUUUGUAGGCAGCUUUUAAAAAAACUCUUAAAUAAGAACUAUUUUUUGUACUUAAUAAUAAUAAUAUUAUUUAGUACAAGUAAUAGUUGUUUGAAAUAAAAGCUAGAAUCUAAUAGAAGUUAAGACGUAUAAUACUUAGAGGAGGGUUUAUAUCCAUAGAUCCUAAGGGGAAUACUAAAGGUGUAAACAACUAACUACUAAUGAUUGACGCUGAGACACGAAGGUGAGGAUAGGAAAUAGGAUUAGAGACCCCGGUACCCCUCUCUGUAAACGAUGAAUGGUAGUUGUCAAUGUAUUAUUGGUGACGAUGUUAACGCGUUAACCAUUCCGCCUUGGGAGUACGACUGCAAAGUUGAAAACAAAAAAAUUAGUCGGUCUCGAAGCAAACGGAGUGAAG